rnacentral:rRNA from 1 species
UGGGGAAUUUUGGACAAAUGGGCGCAAGCCUGAUCCAGCCAUGCCGCGUGUCUGAAGAAGGCCUUCGGGUUGUAAAGGACUUUUGUCAGGGAAGAAAAGGCUGUUGCUAAUAUCGACAGCUGAUGACGGUACCUGAAGAAUAAGCACCGGCUAACUACGUGCCAGCAGCCGCGGUAAUACGUAGGGUGCGAGCGUUAAUCGGAAUUACUGGGCGUAAAGCGAGCGCAGACGGUUACUUAAGCAGGAUGUGAAAUCCCCGGGCUCAACCUGGGAACUGCGUUCUGAACUGGGUGACUAGAGUGUGUCAGAGGGAGGUAGAAUUCCACGUGUAGCAGUGAAAUGCGUAGAGAUGUGGAGGAAUACCGAUGGCGAAGGCAGCCUCCUGGGAUAACACUGACGUCCAUGCUCGAAAGCGUGGGUAGCAAACAGGAUUAGAUACCCUGGUAGUCCACGCCCUAAACGAUGUCAAUUAGCUGUUGGGCAACUUGAUUGCUUAGUAGCGUAGCUACGCGUGAAAUUGACCGCCUGGGGAGUACGGUCGCAAGAUUA